rnacentral:lncRNA from 1 species
UCAGAGCAGAUUGAAUUUACAUUUUACUUUAAAAAAGGUGUGUGUGUGUGUGUGUGUGUGUGUGUGUGUGUACAUACACAGGAGGAAAACGGAGUGGGGAACAACAAUGGUCUGAGACAGAGUUCUAGGAAUUUCCCCUACAGUGAUCGAAUUUGUCUGUUGGGCAGUAUUUCUCCCGCUGGCAUACAACUGCUUACAAUAUGAACAAGGUUACAGACAAGGAACCAUCAAAGUUUAGGCCUAAUGGAAAGGAGGGUAAGUUAUCAUAUACAAUGUAAGUUUACAAUACACAGCAUUUUCUUUAAAAGAUGGAACGCAGUCAUAGGAAGAAGUUAACAACACUAACACAAGAAUAAUCAAAUUUUUGUUAUCCAUGUACAGCAACUAACUGCUUUACAAAAAAGCAAAAUAAUACAAUAUAUCGUCACAUGUAUUUACAGUGUAGUAAAUAUACUUUUCUGUCAAAUUUUACACAAACUAUUUACAGAUGAAUAUACUGCAUUUAAAAAAUGGUGUGGCUGACACUAAGUGAGUUUUCAUAUAGGUCCAUUGCAUAAUAUUGAGUAAGACAUGCCUCUUUAUGCUUGGGGAGGGGGGUAAAAGGAGAAACAAAACCCAAAACAGAACAAAAAAUUAAAAAAACAAAAAACCGUCAAAAGAAACUGAAAACCCCCAAAACACACAAAGCAGAAGGGUUGCCAGCUCACACUCUGUCCCCGGCGGUGUCCUGUGCCUGCUCAGUGUGCAAGAGGAAGGCAUGAGUGAGCGCCGGAGGACAGGGCACCGCACCAUACUGGGCAGCCCUUCGACAGGAGCACAACAAGGAGGACGCAACCGGGGGUGGGGGGUGUGUGUGGGGGUGUCUACAAACCCAAAACAAACGACAGAGCUUACAUCACAUUAUAUAAAAUGGGCCACUUGCUCUGAACUUCAGAUUUUGUCUUAAAUUGCAAGUAUAAGGACUAAAAAAGUAUUUCAUUUCUCAGGGGAAGAAUAUGGUGAGGGAUUUAGCUCAUUUUCAUUUUAUUUGGAAAGUUAGAUUUUUUUUUCUCAAAAGUCAGAAUUUCUUUAAAGAUAAAUUCUAAACCUUAGCUAACUUUUCAGAUUCCUAGGACAUACUGGUAAAAAGUAUUUUUGCAGUUCAAAGAAGGCUCAAUUUUGAUUUGUGCAACGCUGAUCAUUUCAUGAGGUACUUCACGUGGAUUCAUUUCAUUCAUUACACUAGAGGGAAAUAAUUUAAAAAACAUCAUAGUUUCGUGAACUUGUUUAUGGAAAGAUCAAUAUUUUUAAUAGUAAACCUUUGGAAAUUUCUGUUUUGAUGGGAGAAGCAAAAUAGUGUAACCUCCACCAUCACACACACCAAAUCAACAAAAGAGGAAAAAUAUUGAACCA